rnacentral:rRNA from 1 species
GAUGAACGCUGGCGGCGUGCCUAAUACAUGCGAGUCGAGCGAACAGACGAGGAGCUUGCUCCUUUGACGUUAGCGGCGGACGGGUGAGUAACACGUAGGUAACCUACCUAUAAGACUGGGAUAACUUCGGGAAACCGGAGCUAAUACCGGAUAAUAUUUCGAACCGCAUGGUUCGAUAGUGAAAGAUGGCUUUGCUAUCACUUAUAGAUGGACCUGCGCCGUAUUAGCUAGUUGGUAAGGUAACGGCUUACCAAGGCAACGAUACGUAGCCGACCUGAGAGGGUGAUCGGCCACACUGGAACUGAGCCACGGUCCAGACUCCUACGGGAGGCAGCAGUAGGGAAUCUUCCGCAAUGGGCGAAAGCCUGACGGAGCAACGCCGCGUGAGUGAUGAAGGUCUUCGGAUCGUAAAACUCUGUUAUUAGGGAAGAACAAACGUGUAAGUAACUGUGCACGUCUUGACGGUACCUAAUCAGAAAGCCACGGCUAACUACGUG